CAUCUCUCUAAGCUAUAAGAAAGCUCAUUGUCUGCAUGAAAACAGAAAUCCUCUACAGAAAAACAAUUACUUCACUUACAUAGUUUCUGUGCAUACAGGGAAUAAAUAAAAACACAGCGCUGGCCUGCCACUCAUGGAUGUACCCCAUCCAUGUGAGCCGCUGGAUGGCUCACAACAGGAGACCUCUGAGUUCAUGGCCAUCUGGGAUUAAAGGCAU